UACAGAGGUCUCAAGCGUUGUUCGGAUUCAUUGGGCGUUAAGGGUGCGUAGGCGGCGCGGUAAGUCGGGUGUGAAAUCUCGGAGCUUAACUCCGAAACUGCAUUCGAUACUGCCGUGCUUGAGGACUGGAGAGGAGACUGGAAUUUACGGUGUAGCGGUGAAAUGCGUAGAUAUCGUAAGGAAGACCAGUGGCGAAGGCGGGUCUCUGGACAGUUCCUGACGCUGAGGCACGAAGGUCAGGGGAGCAAACGGG
rnacentral:rRNA from 1 species